GUUUCAUUGAGGCUCAGUUUGGAGGGAUUUUGGACAGAGGCUCCUUGGUGGACAUCAACCCACGGGACAGAGAAAAGUGUGCAGCACUGAUCAUGUCGUUAAUGGACAAGGACUGCCGAUACCACCUGGUUUACUUUUUAUAUAAUCCUGUAUUGUUCAAAGGUUUUCCAUUUGAUGUGCCCGAUGAGGAAGUUAACAGACUUUUCAGAGUUUUAUUAACACAAUUACAUUUAUCAUUGAUAAUACCUUUAUUACUCUUACUGCCUUUUGAAAAA